rnacentral:rRNA from 1 species
CAGGCGCGCAACUUACCCUAAUCUCGAUUCGAGGAGGUAGUGACAGAAAUAUUGAUAUUGGACCCAAAGGGUACAAUGAUUGAAAUGAGAACAAUAUAAAAAACUUAACGACUAACAAUUGGAGGGCAAGUCUGGUGCCAGCAGCCGCGGUAAUUCCAGCUCCAAGAGUGUAUAUUAAAGUUGUUGCGGUUAAAAAGCUCGUAGUUGAAUUUCUGAAAAUAAUCUUGUGAUUGAUUUAACCGUCAUGAACAAAAAUUGUUUACAUACUUGAUAGAUGGAAACAUUUAUCUUAAUGACUUUGAAAAAAUUAGAGUGUUCAAAGCAUGAUUCACAUUUGAAUAAUACAGCAUGGGAUAAUAUAAUAUGACAUUAGUUAAAAUUUGUUGGUUUCUUUGGCUAAUGUAAUGAUUAAAAGGGAC